rnacentral:tRNA from 1 species
CCGACGGUGCCCGGGCCGGCCGUGCCGGGCCCGGUCGCAUCGGGCCCGGUCGGCCGUCCCGGCCCGGUCGCGUCGGGCCCGGCCGU